UGCCAGCCGCCGCGGUAAUACGAAGGUGGCAAGCGUUGUCCGGAUUUACUGGGCGUAAAGAGUGUGUAGGCGGAUAAUUAAGUCAGAUGUGAAAGCCCAAGGCUCAACCUUGGAGGUGCAUUUGAUACUGGUUAUCUAGAGUGCGGGAGAGGAGAGUGGAAUUCCUAGUGUAGCGGUGAAAUGCGUAGAGAUUAGGAAGAACACCAGUGGCGAAGGCGGCUUACUGGGACAUUUCUGACACUGAGAGACGAAAGCAUGGGGAGCGAAAGGGAUUAGAUA
rnacentral:rRNA from 1 species